UGGAAUUCUGGCAUAGAAGUAGACGUGUUC
rnacentral:piRNA from 1 species